rnacentral:rRNA from 1 species
UACGUAGGGACCAAGCGUUGUCCGGAAUCAUUGGGCGUAAAGAGCGUGUAGGCGGCUUGUUAAGUCUUGCGUGAAAUCUCGGGGCUCAACCCCGAGCGGUCGUGAGAAACUGGCAGGCUAGAGUGCGGGAGAGGAGAGUGGAAUUCCUGGUGUAGCGGUGAAAUGCGCAGAUAUCAGGAAGAACACCAAUGGCGAAAGCAGCUCUCUGGGACGGUACUGACGCUGAGACGCGAAAGCGUGGGGAGCGAACAGG